UGAGAAAGCAAUCAUGCUGGGGGUCUGGCUCUCGAGAUUCGGAGAGCAGUGUCUCUUCGAUUUUUGAGGAAGUAAUCAUGUUGGGAGUCUGGCUCUCGAGAUUCAGAGGGCGGUGCCUCUUCGAUUUUGGAGCAAGCAAUCUUGUUGGGAGUGUUGUCUCGAAUGUGAGUAAAGGUUGGGCAUGUUUGCUAGUCUACCUUGCCACGAAGCACAAAGGUUGACACACAGGGACUUUCCAAUUAUCCAGCAAUGGUACUGUUCCUUUACCCUCUCUUCGAUUUUGAGAAAGUAAUCAUGUUGGGAGUCUGGCUCUCGAGAUUCGGAGGACGGUGCCUCUUCGAUUUUGGAGCAAGCAAUCUUGUUGGGAGUGUUUUCUCGAAUGUGAGUAAAGGUUGGUCAUGUUUGCUAGUCUACCUUGCCACGAAGCACAGAGGUUGACACACAGGGACUUUCCAAUUAUCCAGCAGUGGUACUGUUCCUUUACCCUUGUGGGUAAUAAUAUGGUAGCUAGACCUUCAAAAUUUAUGUGUCUAAACUUUGUUAGUGCUGUUUCUUUGCUAUUCUUUUACCUUUCUUGGUCAGAGCGAUGUAGUGGGAGCUGCAAGCUUCACGUGCUCAACUUUGGCAGAGAACUUUGGCAAAGUUAUCUGUGGUACCCAUGAGCUAUUGUUGCGUGUGGGAAGUGGGUGAUUGAACAGUAAGAUUCAUGUGCUUUCUACUUCACCAGAAGUCUUCGACAGAAUGCCCAUAAUUUCUGCAAAGCUGAGUGUGCGUGUGACAGGUGCUGACAAGGCUAGAAAAGUAGGUGCCUCUUCGAUUUCUGAGAUCGGCCCUCGUGGUCUCUGAGCAGCCCAGCUUUUGAGAAAGCGAGCGCCUCUUCGAUUGAUUCGGAGAACGAUGCCUCAACGAUUUUUGAGAAAGCAAUCAUGCUGGGGGUCUGGCUCUCAAAGAUUCGGGGAGCAGUGUCUCUUCGAUUUUUGAGAAAGUAAUCAUGUUGGGAGUCUGGCUCUCGAGAUUCGGAGGGCGGUGCCUCUUCGAUUUUAGAGCAAGCAAUCUUGUUGGGAGUGUUUUCUCGAAUGUGAGUAAAGGUUGGGCAUGUUUGCUAAUCUACCUUGCCACGAAGCACAGAGGUUGACACACAGGGACUUUCCAAUUAUCCAGCAAUGGUACUGUUCCUUUACCCUCUCUUUGAUUUUUAAGAAAGUAGUCAUGUUGGGAGUCUGGCUCUCGAGAUUCGGAGGACGGUGCCUCUUCGAUUUUGGAGCAAGCAAUCUUAUUGGGAGUGUUUUCUCGAAUGUGAGUAAAGGUUGGGCAUGUUUGCUAGUCUACCUUGCCACGAAGCACAGAGGUUGACACACAGGGACUUUCCAAUUAUCCAGCAAUGGUACUGUCCCUUUACCCUCUCUUUGAUUUUUAAGAAAGUAGUCAUGUUGGGAGUCUGGCUCUCGAGAUUCGGAGGACGGUGCCUCUUCGAUUUUGGAGCAAGCAAUCUUAUUGGGAGUGUUUUCUCGAAUGUGAGUAAAGGUUAGGCAUGUUUGCUAGUCUACCUUGCCACGAAGCACAGAGGUUGACACACAGGGACUUUCCAAUUAUCCAGCAGUGGUACUGUUCCUUUACCCUUGUGGGUAAUAAUAUGGUAGCUAGACCUUCAAAAUUUAUGGGUCUAAACUUUGUUAGUGCUG
rnacentral:lncRNA from 1 species